rnacentral:rRNA from 1 species
AAUGGGUCAGCGACUUAUAUUCUGUAGCAAGGUUAACCGUAUAGGGGAGCCGGAGGGAAACCGAGUCUUAAUUGGGCGUUAAGUUGCAGGGUAUAGACCCGAAACCCGGUGAUCUAGCCAUGGGCAGGUUGAAGGUUGGGUAACACUAACUGGAGGACCGAACCGACUAAUGUUGAAAAAUUAGCGGAUGACCUGUGGCUGGGGGUGAAAGGCCAAUCAAACCGGGAGAUAGCUGGUUCUCCCCGAAAGCUAUUUAGGUAGCGCCUCGUGAAUUCAUCUCCGGGGGUAGAGCACUGUUUCGGCUAGGGGGCCAUCCCGGCUUACCAACCCGAUGCAAACUGCGAAUACCGGAGAAUGUUAUCACGGGAGACACACGGCGGGUGCUAACGUCCGUCGUGAAGAGGGAAACAACCCAGACCGCCAGCUAAGGUCCCAAAGUCAUGGUUAAGUGGGAAACGAUGUGGGAAGGCCCAGACAGCCAGGAUGUUGGCUUAGAAGCAGCCAUCAUUUAAAGAAAGCGUAAUAGCUCACUGGUCGAGUCGGCCUGCGCGGAAGAUGUAACGGGGCUAAACCAUGCACCGAAGCUGCGGCAGCGACACUCAGGUGUUGUUGGGUAGGGGAGCGUUCUGUAAGCCUGCGAAGGUGGCCUGUGAGGGUUGCUGGAGGUAUCAGAAGUGCGAAUGCUGACAUAAGUAACGAUAAAGCGGGUG